rnacentral:rRNA from 3 species
UUUGAAAUCUGGCGCAAGCCCGAGUUGUAAUUUGUAGAGGAUGCUUCUGGGUAGCGACCGAUCUAAGUUCCUUGGAACAGGACGUCAUAGAGGGUGAGAAUCCCGUAUGUGACCGGCCCGCACCCUUUACGUAGCUCCUUCGACGAGUCGAGUUGUUUGGGAAUGCAGCUCUAAAUGGGAGGUAAAUUUCUUCUAAAGCUAAAUACCGGCCAGAGACCGAUAGCGCACAAGUAGAGUGAUCGAAAGAUGAAAAGUACUUUGGAAAGAGAGUUAAAAAGCACGUGAAAUUGUUGAAAGGGAAGCGCCUGCAACCAGACUUCGCGGCAGUGUUCCGCCGGUCUUCUGACCGGUUCAUUCUCUGUCGCGAGGCCAUCAUCGUCUGGGCCCGCCGGAUAAGACCUGAGGAAUGUGGCUCCCCCUCGGGGGAGUGUUAUAGCCUCUGGUGAUGCGGCGUGGCUCGGGCGAGGUCCGCGCUUCGGCAAGGAUGAUGGCGUAAUGGUUGUCGGCGGCCCGUCUUGAAACACGGACCAAGGAGUCUAACAUCUAUGCGAGUGUUCGGGUGUCAAACCCCUACGCGUAAUGAAAGUGAACGGAGGUGGGAACCGCAAGGUGCACCAUCGACCGAUCCUGAUGUCCUCGGAUGGAUUUGAGUAAGAGCAUAGCUGUUGGGACCCGAAAGAUGGUGAACUAUGCCUGAAUAGGGUGAAGCCAGAGGAAACUCUGGUGG